GACGAACGCUGGCGGCGUGCCUAAUACAUGCAAGUCGAACGCAAUGGGGACGGGUGAGUAACACGUGGGUAACCUCCCAUCAGAGGGGAUAACACUUGGAAACAGGUGCUAAACCGAUACUGAUGGAUGGACCCGCGGUGCAUUAGCUAGUUGGUGAGGUAGCGGCUCACCAAGGCCACGAUGCAUAGCCGGCCGGAGAGGGUGAGCGGCCACACUGGGACAGAGGCACGGCCCAGAAUCCUACGGGAGGCAGCAGGGGGGAAGCUUCGGCAAUGGACGAAAGUCUGACCGAGCAACGCCGCGUGGGUGAAGAAGGUUUGCGGGUCGUAAAACUCUGUUGUUAGAGAAGCGGUAUCUAACCAGAAAGCCACGGCUAACUACGUGCCAGCAGCCGCGGUAAUUC
rnacentral:rRNA from 1 species